UACAGAGGUCCCAAGCGUUGUUCGGAUUUACUGGGCGUAAAGGGUGCGUAGGUGGUGGGGUAAGUCUGAUGUGAAAUCUCCGGGCUCAACUCGGAAAUGGCAUUGGAAACUACCUUGCUCGAGGAUUGGAGGGGGGACUGGAAUGCUCGGUGUAGCAGUGAAAUGCGUAGAUAUCGUGAGGAAGACCAGUUGCGAAGGCGGAUCUCUGGGCAGUUCCUGACACUGAGGCACGAAGGCCAGGGGAGCAAACGGG
rnacentral:rRNA from 1 species